UACGUAGGGUGCAAGCGUUGUCCGGAAUUAUUGGGCGUAAAGAGCGUGUAGGCGGCCCGAUUAGUCCGCUGUGAAAGUCCAGGGCUCAACCCUGGAAUGCCGGUGGAUACUGUCGGGCUAGAGUCCGGAAGAGGAGAGUGGAAUUCCUGGUGUAGCGGUGAAAUGCGCAGAUAUCAGGAGGAACACCGGUGGCGAAGGCGGGUCUCUGGGCAGUAACUGACGCUGAGGAGCGAAAGCGUGGGGAGCAAACAGG
rnacentral:rRNA from 1 species